ACGAACGCUGGCGGCGUGCCUAACACAUGCAAGUCGAGCGAGAGACUUCGGUCUCUAGCGGCGGACGGGUGAGUAACACGUGGGUAACCUGCCUCAUAGUGGGGGAUAGCCUUCCGAAAGGAAGAUUAAUACCGCAUACUCUGGAAAAUUCGCAUGAAUGAUCCAGGAAAGGAGCAAUCCGCUAUGAGAUGGACCCGCGGCGCAUUAGCUAGUUGGUGAGGUAACGGCUCACCAAGGCGACGAUGCGUAGCCGACCUGAGAGGGUGAUCGGCCACAUUGGAACUGAGAUACGGUCCAGACUCCUACGGGAGGCAGCAGUGGGGAAUAUUGCACAAUGGGCGAAAGCCUGAUGCAGCAACGCCGCGUGAGUGAUGACGGCCUUCGGGUUGUAAAGCUCUGUCUUUUGGGACGAUAAUGACGGUACCAAAGGAGGAAGCCACGGCUAACUACGUGCCAGCAGCCGCGGUAAUACGUAGGUGGCAAGCGUUGUCCGGAUUUACUGGGCGUAAAGGAUGCGUAGGUGGAUAUUUAAGUGGGAUGUGAAAUACCCGGGCUCAACUUGGGUGCUGCAUUCCAAACUGGAUAUCUAGAGUGCAGGAGAGGUAAGUGGAAUUCCUAGUGUAGCGGUGAAAUGCGUAGAGAUUAGGAAGAACACCAGUGGCGAAGGCGACUUACUGGACUGUAACUGACACUGAGGCAUGAAAGCGUGGGGAGCAAACAGGAUUAGAUACCCUGGUAGUCCACGCCGUAAACGAUGGGUACUAGGUGUAGGAGGGUCCAACCUUCUGUGCCGCCGUUAACACAAUAAGUACCCCGCCUGGGGAGUACGGUCGCAAGAUUAAAACUCAAAGGAAUUGACGGGGGCCCGCACAAGCAGCGGAGCAUGUGGUUUAAUUCGAAGCAACGCGAAGAACCUUACCUAGACUUGACAUCUCCUGAAUUACUCUUAACAGAGGAAGCCCUUCGGGGCAGGAAGACAGGUGGUGCAUGGUUGUCGUCAGCUCGUGUCGUGAGAUGUUGGGUUAAGUCCCGCAACGAGCGCAACCCUUAUCAUUAGUUGCUACCAUUAAGUUGAGCACUCUAGUGAGACUGCCCGGGUUAACCGGGAGGAAGGUGGGGAUGACGUCAAAUCAUCAUGCCCCUUAUGUCUAGGGCUACACACGUGCUACAAUGGUAGGUACAACAAGAUGCAAGACCGCGAGGUGGAGCUAAACUGUAAAACCUAUCCCAGUUCGGAUUGUAGGCUGAAACUCGCCUACAUGAAGCCGGAGUUGCUAGUAAUCGCGAAUCAGCAUGUCGCGGUGAAUACGUUCCCGGGCCUUGUACACACCGCCCGUCACACCAUGAGAGUUGGCAAUACCCAAAGUUCGUGAGGUAACCGCAAGGAGCCAGCGGCCUAAGGUAGGGUCAGCGAUUGGGGUGAAGUCGUAACAAGGUAACC
rnacentral:rRNA from 1 species